rnacentral:rRNA from 1 species
CGGCGGACUGGUGAGUAACGCGUGGGUGAUCUACCUUGGGCAUGGGGAUAGCCAUUAGAAAUAGUGGGUAAUACCGAAUACGUUCGCGACCGUGAGGGUCGUGAGGAAAGGUGCUACGGCACCGGCCUGAAGAUGAGCCCGCGUCCCAUUAGCUAGUUGGUGAGGUAACGGCCCACCAAGGCGAUGAUGGGUAGCCGGCCUGAGAGGGUGUACGGCCACACUGGGACUGAGAUACGGCCCAGACUCCUACGGGAGGCAGCAGCUAAGAAUAUUCCGCAAUGGACGAAAGUCUGACGGAGCGACGCCGCGUGGAUGAAGAAGGCCGAAAGGUUGUAAAGUCCUUUUGCUGGGGAAGAAUAAGUCUGGGAGGGAAUGCCCGGAUGAUGACAUGAACCGGCGAAUAAGCCCCGGCCAACUACGUGCCAGCAGCCGCGGUAACACGUAGGGGGCGAGCGUUGUUCGGAAUUACUGGGCGUAAAGGGCAUGUAGGCGGCUUUGUAAGCUUGGCGUGAAAGACCAUGGCUCAACCAUGGGACUGCGUUGAGAACUGCGAGGCUUGAGUGACGGAGAGGGAGCUAGAAUUCCUGGUGUAGGGGUGGAAUCUGUAGAGAUCAGGAAGAAUACCAAUGGCGAAGGCAAGCUCCUGGCCGAUGACUGACGCUGAGGUGCGAAAGUGUGGGGAUCAAACAGGAUUAGAUACCCUGGUAGUCCACACUGUAAACGAUGUGCACUAGGUGCUGGGGCGGAUGCUUCAGUGCCGUAGCUGACGUGAUAAGUGCACCGCCCGGGGAGUAUGCUCGCAAGGGUGAAACUCAAGGAAUUGACGGGGGCCCGCACAAGCGGUGGAGCAUGUGGUUUAAUUCG